AAGGCGCUCUGCGUCCGGCCUCCAACCCUUUGUUCGUCUCAACCAUGUUACCUCGGGGGGCGACCCGGCCCUCGUGCCGGGCGACCCCGGAGGUCCAUCAAACUCUGCAUCCUUGCGUCGGAGUAUUGAAAGCAAAUCAAUCAAAACUUUUAACAACGGAUCUCUUGGUUCUGGCAUCGAUGAAAACGGGGGGUAACCGGUCAUGCUGAAGAUGCGACUAAGUAAUGUGAAUUGCAGAAUUCAGUGAAUCAUCGAAUCUUUGAACGCACAUUGCGCCCUUUGGCAUUCCGAAGGGCAUGCCCGUUCGAGCGUCAUUACACCAAUCAAGCCUGGCUUGGUAUUGGGCGUCGGCCGUCGGCCGCGCCUCUAUUUCCCCGGCUGGACGGUUCAAAUCUCAGCGUUGUGAUAAUCAAUUCGCGGAGCAGGAGGACCGGACGCGCCGUUAAACCUCAUUACAGGUUGACCUCGGAUCGG
rnacentral:rRNA from 1 species